UGGGGAAUAUUGCACAAUGGGCGCAAGCCUGAUGCAGCCAUGCCGCGUGUAUGAAGAAGGCCUUCGGGUUGUAAAGUACUUUCAGUCGGGAGGAAGGUGGUAAGGUUAAUAACCUUAUCAAUUGACGUUACCGACAGAAGAAGCACCGGCUAACUCCGUGCCAGCAGCCGCGGUAAUACGGAGGGUGCAAGCGUUAAUCGGAAUUACUGGGCGUAAAGCGCACGCAGGCGGUUGAUUGAGUCAGAUGUGAAAUCCCCGGGCUUAACCCGGGAAUUGCAUCUGAUACUGGUCAGCUAGAGUCUUGUAGAGGGGGGUAGAAUUCCAUGUGUAGCGGUGAAAUGCGUGGAGAUGUGGAGGAAUACCGGUGGCGAAGGCGGCCCCCUGGACAAAGACUGACGCUCAGGUGCGAAAGCGUGGGGAGCAAACAGG
rnacentral:rRNA from 1 species